rnacentral:rRNA from 1 species
UACGUAGGUGGCAAGCGUUGUCCGGAUUUACUGGGCGUAAAGGGCGUGCAGGCGGUUUGUUUAGUCUAGGGUGAAAGCUCCCGGCUUAACUGGGAGAGGUCCUUGGAUACUGGCAAACUUGAGGGAGGCAGAGGAAAGUGGAAUUCCCGGUGUAGUGGUGAUAUGCGUAGAUAUCUGGAGGAACACCGGUGGCGAAGGCGGCAUCCUGGACCGAGAUUGACGCUGAGGCGCGAAAGCCAGGGGAGCAAACGGG